rnacentral:rRNA from 1 species
AGAGUUUGAUCCUGGCUCAGGACGAACGCUGGCGGCGUGCUUAACACAUGCAAGUCGAACGGAGAUUGUCGGGGAGCUUGCUUCCUGACAAUUUUAGUGGCGGACGGGUGAGUAACGCGUGGGCAAUCUGCCCGUAAGAGGGGGAUAACACCGUGAAAAUGGUGCUAAUACCGCAUAACAUCAUCGGAUCGCAUGGUCUGGUGAUCAAAGGAGCAAUCCGCUUACGGAUGAGCCUGCGUCUGAUUAGCUAGUUGGUAGGGUAAUGGCCUACCAAGGCGACGAUCAGUAGCCGGCCUGAGAGGGUGACCGGCCACACUGGAACUGAGACACGGUCCAGACUCCUACGGGAGGCAGCAGUGGGGAAUCUUCCGCAAUGGGCGAAAGCCUGACGGAGCAACGCCGCGUGAGUGAUGAAGGCCUUCGGGUUGUAAAACUCUGUCUUCAGGGAAGAAAAAAAUGACGGUACCUGAGGAGGAAGCCACGGCUAACUACGUGCCAGCAGCCGCGGUAAUACGUAGGUGGCAAGCGUUGUCCGGAAUUAUUGGGCGUAAAGGGCGCGCAGGCGGGAAUUUAAGUCAGGAGUGUAAACUGUCGGCUCAACCGGCAGCUUGCUUCUGAAACUGGAUUUCUUGAGGGUAUGAGAGGAAAGCGGAAUUCCUAGUGUAGCGGUGAAAUGCGUAGAUAUUAGGAGGAACACCAGUGGCGAAGGCGGCUUUCUGGCAUACAACUGACGCUGAGGCGCGAAAGCGUGGGGAGCGAACGGGAUUAGAUACCCCGGUAGUCCACGCCGUAAACGAUGGGCACUAGGUGUAGGAGGUAUCGACCCCUUCUGUGCCGUAGUUAACACAAUAAGUGCCCCGCCUGGGGAGUACGGCCGCAAGGUUGAAACUCAAAGGAAUUGACGGGGGCCCGCACAAGCGGUGGAGUAUGUGGUUUAAUUCGACGCAACGCGAAGAACCUUACCAGGGCUUGACAUCCCCCGACGACCUGUGAAAGCAGGAGUUCCUCCUUCGGGAGGACGGGGAGACAGGUGGUGCA